UGAGCUUGUUGGUUUUACAUACUAAUUCGUUAAUAUGGUUCCGUCUUCAUUUCUUAUGACUGUUACAUCUAAGAAUGGUAUUGCAGUAAUGAUAUCAUCUACAUAUACUUUUAAGAAUGGAACUGUAAAAGAACCAUCAAGUUGUUGGUAAAAAGAUCCGUCGAAUUGGAAGUAGCUUGAUUCAAAACAAAAUUGUAUUA